AAUCAACUGUGUUUUGCCUAAACACUAAGAACUUCUCUGAUAAAUAUACAAAGUUUAAGGCAUAUGAACUUUGACCACAUAUGGGCUUGGUAAGCAUAAUUGUGUUAGAUUAUACUAUACAUGAAAAUGCACUCAUUUGUAAUCAUUACUAGAAAAUGUAUCUGAUUAGAAGUUCAAAAUAUAUAGAUUUUCUAUAAUUGCAUUUUACUACCAUUGUAACACAGUCCAACACAUAUUCGGUUAUCAAAUUACAACCAUAAUUUUAAAACUAUCAUUUUAUGCAAAAUGUAAUUGUCUAAAGAUACACUUUAUCAUCUAAAUAUAAUGCAUUGGUCAUUAUGAUAUCAACCUGAGGUUGUCAGCUUUGAUUCAAUCUAUCAUUACUGCUGAAACCAUUUACAAUCCUGCCCAUUCCAUUUUAAAGAGUGGAAAGGUCUUGGUUCUGUGUUCAGGUUUAAGUUUCCCUUUGCUGCACUUUUCACUGCAGGUCUGACCUCUUUUUGCUGUUCUACAUUUAUACCCUUUUACAGCCACACAACAAAAAGGAGAGCCAGAACAAAGCCCGGCAAUUACAGUAAGAAAGAACUCAUCGCUGUGGGGCAAGGUGGACAGCACAGAGCCACGCUCAUCUUACACAGCUCUCACACAGACACGCAUGCUGGCAAAAGGCAUCCAGCCCAUCAGGAGCCUCUGAGAGGAAACAGGAUGGGGAAUUCCAAACAAAGAGACAGGCAAACAACGAGGUGCUGGCCGCUCCAUUAUGGCCUUGUUUGCUCCUUGAAUGCAGGAUCAUCCAUACAAUAAAGGCUAAAUUAAAAGUUCUCAGAUGUGCGGCACUGUUGGCUCAUGCUGCUAGCGUACGCAUAUACUCUCCGCCCCUGGAUGGAUUGAAGAUAUCACGUUCACAUGGGAGUGAAGGCCAGAGAGGAGAAAAAGUGAGGGGCUGCCUUCUGCCUAUCGGUGAAGUGUAGCUGUUUUCAACAGAAUAAGCUGCAGUUGCACAAUGCAUUUUAAGUGCUUAAGCUGCUAUAUAUGUGUGUCACAAAAUGAGGUAAACAAUUAGGCAGUCGAUCAACACUUAUGUAUCAUUUAGAAAAAAAAUAGCAUUUACUCCCCCUUAUAUUGUUCCAAACCUGUAUGAUGUUCUUUCUUCAGUGAAACACACAGAAAAAUAAUGUUUAAAUAUAAUAUACUGGAAACUCUUUUUCAUGCAAUUGCUUUUAAAAGUAUGUAAUGUAUAGUAAAGAAUCAUAAAUUGUGUUAUGUUUCAUGCUGUACAUUCAAAGUCUUCUGAAGCCAUACACUAACUUUGUGUAAGGAACAGAAUAAAACAUAAAUCAUUAUUAUUUAAUUAUAA
ensembl:lncRNA